rnacentral:rRNA from 1 species
UAGGGAAUCUUCCACAAUGGGCGCAAGCCUGAUGGAGCAACACCGCGUGAGUGAAGAAGGGUUUCGGCUCGUAAAACUCUGUUGUUAAAGAAGAACGUAUCUAAGAGUAACUGCUUAGGUAGUGACGGUAUUUAACCAGAAAGCCACGGCUAACUACGUGCCAGCAGCCGCGGUAAUACGUAGGUGGCAAGCGUUAUCCGGAUUUAUUGGGCGUAAAGCGAGCGCAGGCGGUUUUUUAAGUCUGAUGUGAAAGCCUUCGGCUUAACCGAAGAAGUGCAUCGGAAACUGGGAAACUUGAGUGCAGAAGAGGACAGUGGAACUCCAUGUGUAGCGGUGAAAUGCGUAGAUAUAUGGAAGAACACCAGUGGCGAAGGCGGCUGUCUGGUCUGUAACUGACGCUGAGGCUCGAAAGCAUGGGUAGCGAACAGG